rnacentral:rRNA from 1 species
GAUGAACGCUAGCGGGAGGCCUAACACAUGCAAGCCGAGCGGUAUUGUUUCUUCGGAAAUGAGAGAGCGGCGUACGGGUGCGGAACACGUGUGCAACCUGCCUUUAUCUGGGGGAUAGCCUUUCGAAAGGAAGAUUAAUACUCCAUAAUAUAUUGAACGGCAUCGUUCGAUAUUGAAAGCUCCGGCGGAUAGAGAUGGGCACGCGCAAGAUUAGCUAGUUGGUGAGGUAACGGCUCACCAAGGCAAUGAUCUUUAGGGGGCCUGAGAGGGUGAUCCCCCACACUGGUACUGAGACACGGACCAGACUCCUACGGGAGGCAGCAGUGAGGAAUAUUGGUCAAUGGGUGCAAGCCUGAACCAGCCAUCCCGCGUGAAGGACGACUGCCCUAUGGGUUGUAAACUUCUUUUGUAUAGGGAUAAACCUACCCUCGUGAGGGUAGCUGAAGGUACUAUACGAAUAAGCACCGGCUAACUCCGUGCCAGCCGCCGCCGUAACAC